GAUGAACGCUGGCGGCGUGCCUAAUACAUGCAAGUCGAGCGAACGGACGAGAAGCUUGCUUCUCUGAUGUUAGCGGCGGACGGGUGAGUAACACGUGGAUAACCUACCUAUAAGACUGGGAUAACUUCGGGAAACCGGCGCUAAUACCGGAUAAUAUUUUGAACCGCAUGGUUCAAAAGUGAAAGACGGUCUUGCUGUCACUUAUAGAUGGAUCCGCGCUGCAUUAGCUAGUUGGUAAGGUAACGGCUUACCAAGGCAACGAUGCAUAGCCGACCUGAGAGGGUGGUCGGCCACACGGGAACUGAGACACGGUCCAGACUCCUACGGGAGGCAGCAGUAGGGAAUCUUCCGCAAUGGGCGAAAGCCUGACGGAGCAACGCCGCGUGAGUGAUGAAGGUCUUCGGAUCGUAAAACUCUGUUAUUAGGGAAGAACAUAUGUGUAAGUAACUGUGCACAUCUUGACGGUACCUAAUCAGAAAGCCACGGCUAACUACGUG
rnacentral:rRNA from 1 species